UUUUCUUUUCCUUUCUUUUCCUGUUGUGAUUUUUUAAUUUUCUUUUGGUUUUCUUUCCUUCGUCGCCUCUGCCGCCGACCCUCCGUCACUACUGCUGGGUGAGACAAGAUUGCUCCAGCCGCUAGACGCCAACCCGCGUUGUGACUAGGACUGCCCUAGCCGCUAGACGCCUCUCGCUGCCACCGGGUGAGACCCGACGCUAGAAGCCAACGUGACUAAGACUGCCCCAGGCAACAAACGCCCCUCGUCGCAAACUAGGUUUUCCUCUCAAAUGUCAUCGUUCAUCGCUGUCUAUCACCGUCGUCCUUCAUCGAGAGCAACCAACAUACUAGGUUUUCCCCACGCCAUUGUCGCUGCCCAACUCUUUGUCCCUGAAUCAGGAUUUGCAUCUGGGUUGAGGACUUACACGUGAAAUCCUUGGUUUUUUUCCCUCUUUAAUUUGGAUUAAGCAUCAACUUCACUUUUAGUUGUAAUAUGGAAUUCCUUUGCAAACAUGUUUGGUGCCUAGAUUUAUCACUCAAACAUACUAAAAAGUGAUUCAUGAAUGCUCAUGUUUACAUAUAUAGAUUAAACAUUUUCUUCUA